rnacentral:lncRNA from 1 species
GAAACAACCACCAUGGCUGCUAGUGUUGCUUCUUGUUCAUCUCUGGUUCCAAAGAGUACCACCUUAUCAUUUCCACACUCUUCACAACAAGAAAGAAGAAGAAAUGAAGUGCAGUUUGUUGGGUACCCAAGAAAUUCCAUUUUCACUCUAUCCACACUUCCUUUCGCUCGUCGCAAAAACAACAUCCCUGCAAUAACCUGUAACAACAACAGAAAGAAGAGAAAAAACAACAAGGUAAAUACAAUAUUUUAACAUUUUUUAGUUGAUUCUAUCCAUUUACUGAAACUAUCCAAACUGAAGCUUGGUAUUGUACUUUUUUUUAAUUGUG